rnacentral:lncRNA from 1 species
AUUCACAAACAUGGGAAGAUCACCUCUCACAUCUACAUAUAGUUCUCACCAUUCUGGAAACUAACCAUUUAUUUGCUGAAAGGACAAAGUGCAAGUUUGGUGUUACCCAAGUUGACUAUUUGGGUCACAUUAUUUCUGAGCAUGGAGUGGCUGUGGACCCAACAAAAAUACAAGCUAUCCUUGAAUGGCCAACACCCACCACAACCAAGGGAGUACGUGGAUUUCUCGGGUUGGCAGGAUAUUAUCGAAAAUUUAUACGAGAUUUUAGAUGUAUAGCUGCCCCCAUUAACUCAACUCUUAUCCAAGGAAGGAUUUAAAUGGAAUGAGGCAGCCGAGUUAGCCUUUAAAAGGUUGAAGAAAGCAUUGACAUCGCCACCAGUUCUACGUCUUCCCAAUUUCUCCCAACGGUUUGUGAUUGAAUGUGAUGCAAGUGGGAUUGGAAUUGGAGCAGUCUUAUCUCAACAAAAUCGACCAGUAGCUUACUUCAGCGAGGCUUUGAAAGGAUCAGCUUUGUUACUGUCUACCUAUGAGAAAGAAAUGUUAGCCAUUGUCAAAUCUAUUCAAAAAUGGCGCCCAUAUCUUCUCGGAAAACUGUUUACAGUUCGCACAGACCAAAAAAGUCUUAAAUAUUUACUUGAGCAGCGGAUCACUACCCCAGCACAAACUCGAUGGCUUCCAAAGAUCCUUGGAUAUGAUUAUGAAAUUGAGUAUACGUGGGGGCCCGAAAAUCAAGCUGCUGAUUCAUUGUCCCGUGUGGUCGAAUUUCAAUUCCUAUCCAUUUCCAUGCCACGUGCGGAUUGGUGGUCAAUAUUACAAAGUGAGGUGUCACAGGAUCCCUUCUAUACAAAACUAAGCCAAACACAGUCAGUCCACCAAUUGGUUCAACUAGAUGGAGUGUGGUUUAAAAAUGACAAGGUUUACUUGAGCCCAACUUCAAACUUGAUUCAGAAAAUAAUUUUCGAUUGCCACUCAACGCCUACGGGAGGACACUUUGGGUUCCAUAAGACUCUCUCCCGAAUUAAACUCAGCUUCUUGUGGCCUAAUAUGUGCAGGACAGUCAAGGAAUUUCUACAGCAAUGCACUAUUUGUCAACAGUACAAAACAGAUUGUAUGAAGCCAGCUGGGCUAUUACAACCCUUACCAAUUCCGACUCAAAUAUGGACUGAUGUCUCAAUGGAUUUUAUUGAAGGAUUGCCGCCAUCAAAUGGACAUACUGUCAUCAUGGUAGUCGUUGAUCGCUUAACAAAGUAUGCCCACUUUGUAGCCUUGAAACAUCCAUUUACCGCAGUCAUUGUUGCCAAAGCAUUUGUAACCAAUAUAGAUCGUCUCCAUGGCAUUCACACAUCCAUUGUCAGUGAUCGAGAUAAGGUGCUUAUCAGCUCCUUUUGGCAAGCAUUAUUCCAAUUACAAGGAACCAAGCUUUGCAUGAGCUCAAGCUACCAUCCUCAAUCUGAUGGCCAAACGGAGGUAGUAAAA